rnacentral:rRNA from 1 species
UGGGGAAUAUUGCACAAUGGGCGAAAGCCUGAUGCAGCGACGCCGCGUGAGGGAUGACGGCCUUCGGGUUGUAAACCUCUUUCAGCAGGGACGAAGCGCAAGUGACGGUACCUGCAGAAGAAGCACCGGCUAACUACGUGCCAGCAGCCGCGGUAAUACGUAGGGUGCAAGCGUUGUCCGGAAUUACUGGGCGUAAAGAGUUCGUAGGCGGUUUGUCGCUUCGUUUGUGAAAACCAGCAGCUCAACUGCUGGCUUGCAGGCGAUACGGGCAGACUUGAGUACUGCAGGGGAGACUGGAAUUCCUGGUGUAGCGGUGAAAUGCGCAGAUAUCAGGAGGAACACCGGUGGCGGAGGCGGGUCUCUGGGCAGUAACUGACGCUGAGGAACGAAAGCGUGGGUAGCGAACAGG